GUGUCAGCAGCCGCGGUAAUACGAAGGGGGCUAGCGUUGCUCGGAAUUACUGGGCGUAAAGGGCGCGUAGGCGGAUGUUUAAGUCAGCGGUGAAAGCCCAGGGCUCAACCUUGGAACUGCCAUUGAUACUGGACAUCUUGAGUACGGGAGAGGUGAGUGGAACACCGAGUGUAGAGGUGAAAUUCGUAGAUAUUCGGUAGAACACCAGUGGCGAAGGCGACUCACUGGCCCGUUACUGACGCUGAGGCGCGAAAGCGUGGGGAGCAAACAGGAUUAGAUACCCUGGUAGUCC
rnacentral:rRNA from 1 species